UGGGGAAUUUUGCACAAUGGGGGGAACCUUGAUGCAGCGACGCCGCGUGAGGGAUGGAGGCCUUCGGGUUGUGAACCUCUUUCGCUCGUGUGCAAGCCGCUAUUUGGGUAGUGGUGAGUGUAGCGGGUAAAGAAGCGCCGGCUAACUACGUGCCAGCAGCCGCGGUAAUACGUAGGGCGCGAGCGUUGUCCGGAUUUAUUGGGCGUAAAGGGCUUGUAGGCGGUUUGUCGCGCCUGUCGUGUAAUCCUCUGGCUUAACUGGGGGUGUGCGGUGGGUACGGGCAGGCUUGAGUGCGGGAGGGGAGAUUGGAAUUCCUGGUGUAGCGGUGGAAUGCGCAGAUAUCAGGAGGAACACCGGUGGCGAAGGGGGGUCUCUGGGCCGUUACUGACGCUGAGGAGCGAAAGCGUGGGGAGCGAACAGG
rnacentral:rRNA from 1 species